GUUCCUGCACCGCAGAUGAGCUCCAUGAUUUACAUAAAUGCACUGAAAACGUGCAUAAGAAUACACAGUUAAAUUAACAGCAUUGCAUUUUUCAUGUACUGUAGCCCACUUUUUGCCAGCUAAUAGCCUAACCACCGAUCAAGCAACAAUAUGGACAAUACUGGUCAAAUUAAGAUCCUACACCUUUAUGUUUUGGUCUCACAAUAACAACAGUCAGGUCUCGAGGUAGGUCUCUUUUCGCUGCAGAUGACUGCUGUUAGUGACACACACAAGCACACACACCCAAAUUCACAAACUCUCACACACACUCCUCCGAGGACCAUCAUCUACAGAACUCUCUGGAUAUGUUGGUGUUCCAGGGUAUUACUGGUUGCUCUCCCUAUUUCCCUCUCUCUCCUUCUCUCUGUCUGUGGUGAGUGAUGCAAGGUGACAGGAUAGCAGCAGGGUGAAGGGGGGGGAGCGAGAGAGAGCAGAGAGCAGGGGUUAUUGCUGACAGGGCCUAUCCAGGGUCCUAUAGAAUCACCCCAGGGUGCAUAUUUCAACUACUACACAACCCUGAGAGAAACAGAGAGAGAUGGAGAGAACAGAGAGAGGUGGAGAGAACAGAAAGAGAAGGAGAGAAACAGGGAGAUAUGGAGAUAAAUUGAGAGAGAUGGAGAGAACAUAAAGAGAUGGAGAGAAACAGAGAGAGAUGGAGAGAAGCAGAGAGAGGUGGAGAGAAACAGAGAGAGGUGGAGAGAAACAGAGAGAGGUGGAGAGAAACAGAGAGAGGUGGAGAGAAACAGAGAGGCAGAGAGAGAUGGAGAGAAGCAGAGAGAGAUGGAGAGAAACAGAGAGAAGUAGAGAAACAGAGAGAGAUAGAGAUAGAUGGAAGGAAACAGAGAGAGACGGAGAGAAACAGAGAGAGAUGGAGAGAAACAGAGAGGAGAUGAGAGAGACAGAGAGGAGAUGAGAGAGACAGAGAGGAGAUGAGAGAGACAGAGAGGAGAUGAGAGAGACAGAGAGGAGAUGAGAGAGACGGAGAGGAGAGGAGAGGAGAGGAUCAAAUAAUAUACAGCAGCAUAAUGAAUGAAGUCCCCAUGCAGCUCUGCUCUCCCUCCUGACCCUGCAGAGAUGGGAGAUGUGUGUCUGAGACGAGAGCAGAGAUGAGAGGCAUUGGUCAUGCUUGGAGUGAGUGAGCGCGGAAUAUUUUCCAUCCGCUCGUGUUGAAUAACUUUAGUUGUCUGUGUCUGCGGCCAUGGCAGCACCGGGAAAAAAAGCUAAAAAGUCAUUUUCUUCAUCAUCAGUUUUAUGCAAGCGAGGAAUCUGAUUGCAUUUGCCUGCCUGGGGCUGUGUGUGUGCAUGGCUAUGUUGUCAUCCACUGUUGUAGCACAGACCUGACACAAGUCAUUUCACCUCAGCUGUUCCUGUUCUGUCCCCUCAUACACAUUCAUAUGAUGCUAAUCUGGACCUGUCUUUCUCAGUGCCCCGGCAAAACCUUGCAGCAAAUCAUACGGGUGAUUAGGAAAUUAAAAAGUACAAUGGAACAAUGCCUUCCUAAGUACUCACUGUCCCCAUUUGUCAAGUCGUGGAUGGAGAGGGGUUAGCAGGGUGGUGGGGUGGAAAGGGGUUAGCAGGGUGGUGGGGUGGAGAGGGG
rnacentral:lncRNA from 1 species